rnacentral:rRNA from 1 species
AGGGAUUGCCUCAGUAACGGCGAGUGAAGCGGCAACAGCUCAAAUUUGAAAUCUGGCCCCUUUGGGGUCCGAGUUGUAAUUUGCAGAGGGUGCUUUUGGUGUUGGCCGUGGUCUAAGUUCCUUGGAACAGGACGUCACAGAGGGUGAGAAUCCCGUACGUGGCCGCCGGCCCUCGCCUUGUAAAGCCCCUUCGACGAGUCGAGUUGUUUGGGAAUGCAGCUCUAAAUGGGAGGUAAAUUUCUUCUAAAGCUAAAUACCCGCCAGAGACCGAUAGCGCACAAGUAGAGUGAUCGAAAGAUGAAAAGCACUUUGGAAAGAGAGUGAAAAAGCACGUGAAAUUGUUGAAAGGGAAGCGCUUGCGGCCAGACGUGCCCGCGGUUGUUCAUCUGGGCUCUCGCCCGGUGCACUCCUCCGCGGGCAGGCCAGCAUCAGUUUGGGCGGUCGGACAAAGGUCUCUAUCACGUACCACCCCUCGGGGUGGCCUUAUAGGGGAGACGCAACACGGCCAGCCUGGACUGAGGUUCCGCGCAUCUGCUAGGAUGCUGGCGUAAUGGCAGCAAGCGGCCCGUCUUGAAACACGGACCAAGGAGUCUAACAUCUAUGCGAGUGUUUGGGUGUCAAGCCCGAGCGCGUAAUGAAAGUGAACGGAGGUGGGAACCCCUCGGGGCGCACCAUCGACCGAUCCUGAUGUCUUCGGAUGGAUUUGAGUAAGAGCAUAGCUGUUGGGACCCGAAAGAUGGUGAACUAUGCCUGAAUAGGGUGAAGCCAGAGGAAACUCUGGUGGAGGCUCGCAGCGGUUCUGACGUGCAAAUCGAUCGUCAAAUUUGGGCAUAGGGGCGAAAGACUAAUCGAACCAUCUA